AUUGAACGCUGGCGGCAGGCCUAACACAUGCCAGUCGAGCGGAGCGGCGGACGGGUGAGUAAUGCCUAGGAAUCUGCCUGGUAGUGGGGGAUAACGUCCGGAAACGGGCGCUAAUACCGCAUACUCUCAGCUGAGCCUAGGUCGGCUUAGCUAUUUGGUGGGGUAAAGGCCUACCAAGGCGACGAUCCGUAACUGGUCUGAGAGGAGAAUCAUUCACACUGGAACUUAGACACGGUCCAGAUUCCGACGUGAGGCAGCAGUGGGGAAUAUUGGACAAUGGGCGAAAGCCUGAUCCAGCCAUGCCGCGUGUGUGAAGAAGGUCUUCGGAUUGUAAAGCACUUUAAGUUGGGAGGCGUUACCAACAGAAUAAGCACCGGCUAACUUCGUGCCAGCAGCCGCGGUAAUUC
rnacentral:rRNA from 1 species